AGAGUUUUGGGUCUGGCUCAGAUUGAACGCUGGCGGCAGGCCUAACACAUGCAAGUCGAGCGGUAACAGAUCUAGCUUGCUAGAUGCUGACGAGCGGCGGACGGGUGAGUAAUGCUUGGGAAUAUGCCUUAUGGUGGGGGGAGAAAUUCGGAUUAAUACCGCAUAAUCUCUACGGAGUAAAGGUGGCCUCUCCUUGGAAGCUAUCGCUACUAGAUAAGCCCGCGUCUGAUUAGCUUGUUGGUGAGGUAAUGGCUCACCAAGGCAACGAUCAGUAGCUGGUCUGAGAGGAUGAUCAGCCACACUGGAACUGAGACACGGUCCAGACUCCUACGGGAGGCAGCAGUGGGGAAUAUUGCACAAUGGGCGCAAGCCUGAUGCAGCCAUACCGCGUGUGUGAAGAAGGCUCUAGGGUCGUAAAGUACUUUCAGUAGGGAGGAAAGGUUAGCCGUUAAUAACGGUUAGCUGUGACGUUACUCGCAGAAGAAGGACCGGCUAACUCCGUGCCAGCAGCCGCGGUAAUACGGAGGGUCCGAGCGUUAAUCGGAAUUACUGGGCGUAAAGCGUACGCAGGCGGUUUGUUAAGCGAGAUGUGAAAGCCCCGGGCUCAACCUGGGAACUGCAUUUCGAACUGACAAACUAGAGUUUUGUAGAGGGUGGUAGAAUUUCAGGUGUAGCGGUGAAAUGCGUAGAGAUCUGAAGGAAUACCAGUGGCGAAGGCGGCCACCUGGACAAUAACUGACACUGAGGCGCGAAGGCGUGGGGAGCAAACGGGAUUAGAUCCCCCGGUAGUCCACGCCGUAAACGAUGUCAACUAGCCGACUGGCGCCUUGGAUCUGAGUGGCGCAGCUAACGCACUAAGUUGACCGCCUGGGGAGUACGGCCGCAAGGUUAAAACUCAAAUGAAUUGACGGGGGCCCGCACAAGCGGUGGAGCAUGUGGUUUAAUUCGAUGCAACGCGAAGAACCUUACCUGGCCUUGACAUCCUCGGAAUUUCGCAGAAACGUGAAAGUGCCUUCGGGAGCCAAGAGACAGGUGCUGCAUGGCUGUCGUCAGCUCGUGUCGUGAGAUGUUGGGUUAAGUCCCGCAACGAGCGCAACCCCUAUCUCUAGUUGCCAGCGAUUCGGUCGGGAACUCUAGAGAGACUGCCGGUGAUAAACCGGAGGAAGGUGGGGAUGACGUCAAGUCAUCAAGGCCCUUACGGCCAGGGCUACACACGUGAUACAAUGGAUAAUACAGAGGGUUGCGAACCCGUAAGGAGGAGCUAAUCUCAGAAAAUUAUCCGUAGUCCAGAUUGGAGUCUGCAACUCGGCUCCAUGAAGUCGGUAUCGCUAGUAAUCGCGAAUCAGCAUGUCGCGGUGAAUACCUUCCCAGGCCUUGUACACACCGACC
rnacentral:rRNA from 1 species